UCAACAAUCAGAAAGAGAUGAAAAAAAUUAAGAAAACUGAUUAACCGAAACUUAUUGUUAAUCUCAAGGCUUAACUUUAAAUCUUCUUGACGAAUCAAAUUGUUUUUUCAUUUUGAAUCUAAUUAGAUGAUUUGCCAUUCGCUUACAUGUAAUAAUCUUAAAUUGUCAACUGAUUAACAAUCAAAAUUAAUUACAAUGGAUAAGAAAAGGUAAGAUAAUCCAAUUGAUUUUCUUAAGUUUAUCUAUUUGAUCACCUGAUUCACUAAUUGUUACAUUGUUGAUUUAAAGGUAAACAAAAUCUUAUUGAAACUAAUUAAUUGUCUCCAGACAAAGUUGAUUAUCGUUAAUUACGUUUGAUCAUUGAUUUAAUUCCGUCUCAACGGUUGAUAUUCACAAGAUAAAUUAACUUAAAUUUAACAGAAAAGUUUCUCUUCUCCCAAUCAGUUACCCUUAUUAUCUGGAUUGUUUUUUCCUCAUCUAAUUGUCUUUGAACAGGUAAUCCUCUUUUCUUUAAUCCUUGACAACACGACCAAUUAAGAGUAACAAUUAAUUCACCUUUCCGUUUGGUGUUCAAUGUAAGUCAUUUGUUUUUAUUUCCAUUCUCAGAACUUUUUUUCAUCUUUUCCUGAUAUUUUUCCAUCUCUAGAAAAUUAUCAUGUUGUUAACUUUAUCUUCUUCUUUACAUCUUACUAAUAACGAUAAAUUCUGUUGAAAAUUCAUGAGGUAAUCGCUUAGAAUCCUGAUGACGAUUAAAAAAUAUUCCAAUAAGGAAACAAUUUAAGUCGAAAUUGUAAAAAGAAUUCGAAAAUGAAUCAGCUGAAUCUAUCGAUGAACUUUUCCUGAACUCUAUUUAUUUAUAAAUGAUUUGGAUAGAAAAGUCAUUUAAUCAAACAACAUCAACAAGUAUUGACCUCAACCUGAACUUGGUCAACAUUUAAUUAUACAAAAUGAUUGAUAGAAAUCAAUGAUUUCAUCUUUAAAUAAUAUUUCCAACCUGAAAUAAACCAAUGAAAUGAUGAUGGAUGAUCAACAAGGAAACAACUUUGACCAUGUUAAUAUACAAGAAAAUUCAGUGACCAUUAUCAGAAAUGAAUCUUGAAUCAAUUCAUUUCUCAAUUUGAUAUUUUCACUGAUGGAAAUGGAUCAUGAAAAGUGUUACAAUUAAAGAGAAUGGACAUUUUUUUUUUCAACUGACCAAAUGGUUACACAUCAAUUAACCUGAUUAUCACCAAGUUGACAAUUAUCAUUUGAUGGAGAGAUGAAAUUUUCUCUUACCCUGUAAUAAUAAGAUUGUUCA